rnacentral:rRNA from 1 species
AUUGAACGCUGGCGGCAGGCUUAACACAUGCAAGUCGAGCGGAGAGAGGUAGCUUGCUACUGAUCUUAGCGGCGGACGGGUGAGUAAUGCUUAGGAAUCUGCCUAUUAGUGGGGGACAACAUUUCGAAAGGAAUGCUAAUACCGCAUACGUCCUACGGGAGAAAGCAGGGGAUCUUCGGACCUUGCGCUAAUAGAUGAGCCUAAGUCGGAUUAGCUAGUUGGUGGGGUAAAGGCCUACCAAGGCGACGAUCUGUAGCGGGUCUGAGAGGAUGAUCCGCAACACUGGGACUGAGACACGGCCCAGACGCCUACGGGAGGCAGCAGUGGGGAAUAUUGGACAAUGGGCGGAAGCCUGAUCCAGCCAUGCCGCGUGUGUGAAGAAGGCCUUAUGGUUGUAAAGCACUUUAAGCGAGGAGGAGGCUACUUUAGUUAAUACCUAGAGAUAGUGGACGUUACUCGCAGAAUAAGCACCGGCUAACUCUGUGCCAGCCGCCGCGGUAAAAC